rnacentral:rRNA from 1 species
AUGCAUGUUUCCGCAAUCAGGGACGAAUAGCUCAGUAAAACUGCGAUGAUUUAGUCUGGCUGUGUAGAUAACUACGUGAAAAUGUAGCUAAGGGAAGGCAGAAUCAGACGCAGUGACUAUCAGUUAGUUGGUAGUGUAAUGGACUACCAAGACAGUGACGGUUGACGGGAAAUUAGGGUUUUGUACCGGAGAGGGAGCCUGAGAGAUUGCUCCCACGUCCAAGGACGGCAGCAGGCGCGAAAAUUGCCCACUCUUUGCAGGAGGCAGUUAUGAGACGUGAAGAUGAGUAUCUUGUAAAGAGGGAUAGGAGAAUUGGAGGGCAAGUUUGGUGCCAGCAGCCGCGGUAAUACCGACUCCAAGAGUGUGUAUGAGAGAUGCUGCAGUUAAAAAGUCCGUAGUCAUAGAAGGGCAAAGAGAGAUGCGAGGUCUCACAGUGCGAUGAUGGAGGAGCCGAUGGGGAACAUAGUAUACCAGGGCGAGAGAUGAAAUGCCAAGACCCCUGGUGGACUGAGCGAGG